GAUAGAGAAAUCCCAGCUUAAGACAUUUGUGCCAUUCCAGAUUCAUGGGUACACAGUAUGACUCAUGCACAAUGUUCUCUGGUGGAUGAGCAACCACAAGUAUGUGAUGGGAGAGCAAUGAAAAUUUACAGACGGGGAGCAUUUGUGGAUUACUCUGAGCUCAGACAAGUGUUGCAUUCUAUCGCUGUGGUAACAGCACAUCAGUGUAUCUCACAUGGCAGAACUAUAUUCUGCUCUUAGCCAUCAGGAAGAUGAUGACAAAACCUAAUUAGUGAAGGCAAUAAAGAAAGAAAUUGCAGCCCACAGUUGUCUGUGAUACUUGACUUGACAUACACGAAUGAUGUACAGCUCCCACAUAGAUAAAUUAUGUUUAACAUAUCUCAGUAAUUGUAGCAGCCAUAGAAAAAAAGAACAGAAGAAAGAAACUUCUUUCAGUACCUCAACUGAAACCAGGCAUAACGCAACGCUGAGCCAACAACACUUGGUGAAAACAACUAUAAGCCAGAUUACAACAAAGAGGAGAAAUAGGACAUUUUGUAUAUGGCACCCACUUCCAUCAAGAAAUAAAAGGAGACAAUACUAAUGAAAGCAGACUACCUUGUUUGACAGGUAUUUAAUGCCUCCAUUCACAACAUUGUCCCUAAAGGAAGAAUCAGGCAUGGCCAUCUGAGGGAGAGCUGUUCCCUGAAGGAUAUAAAGGAGACACAGACUGACUAUUUAAGCAGCCUCCUGUCAUUUGCAAUUCGAAAUGCUGCUUUACUUUCUGAGGUCAUUCAAAACUGUUUUUGUGACUGAAGUCACAACCUGAAUUUAUUUAUUCCAUAUCCUGUUUACUAAUUCACUGAUAAGUCCUCCUUACCAUGCUAACCAAUCACUGCAUCACAUGGCUUCUUUCUACACAAGAACAAAUCAACUCAUCCAUUGAUGUCUUUGUGAACACAUUGUCAAGAUUUGUUCCACUUCAACACCGAAGCAAAGCACUGGCCUUGUGGCCUAGAAAGAAGAUAUCACUGUAGCAACUUGAGGUGCUGGUGAUACUGCAUGGUUUCCCUUCUCUUCCUCUUUACUGUACUGCACUCCUGCCAAAAGUUAACUUUACAGGAGAGUGAUUCCUUUUGAGAAGACAGACAGGGUUGCCUCAAUUAUCCUGACUCAGCACGUUUGGAACAAAACAAGGACCAACUGCAGAAAGAGACAUUUGUAAUGCUUGCUCCAGAACACAAAAUAAACAGAGCGAGUGCGCAGCUGGCCUGGUGGCAGCUACAGAGCCUAAGCCUUUGCUCGUCGUUUGGCAGGAAGAGCUGCAGUGCCUGCAUAG